UUGAAGAUACUCACCACAGAUUGUCUUUCUUGGAUGGUGGCACGAUCUUGAAGCUCCCGCUAUUCUAUCUUGAAGGUACUUGAGCAUUGCCUGUCUGGGGAUGACAUAUCAUCUCUAGGUUCACCAGCAGUAGCUUUUGGUAUACCAAUGCAUCUCUUUUCAGCAUAGACCUCAUGUCCUAGAUAUAUUGCAUCUCUUUUCAGCAUAGACCUCAUGUCCUAGAUAUAUUUAACGAAUACUUCAAAUCUUCUUUGCAUCCUGUCAGAAUCUUAUGAAGGCAAUUUCUCAAAAAAUCUUAUGAGAGCUAUGCAAUUGACGUUCUUGCAAGUGUAGUGUUAUGACCAUUCAAAUUUUAUUCCGGCAGUACUGUUUAAUAUUUGUCAGGGGUUGUUCUAUUUCCGGAGGCUAUUCUUCCUCUCAGAGUUAUCC
rnacentral:lncRNA from 1 species